GCUCAUUCAAGAUGAUUUUAAAGUUAAAACAAAUGGGAAUCUCUCUGACAGAAAAUAAAGAUCAAUUUUAAACUGAAAC
rnacentral:snoRNA from 1 species